rnacentral:rRNA from 1 species
AUUGAACGCUGGCGGAAUGCUUUACACAUGCAAGUCGAACGGUAGAGGGGGCAACCCCUUGAGAGUGGCGAACGGGUGAGUAAUAUAUCGGAACGUGCCCAGUCGUGGGGAUAACGUAGCGAAAGUUACGCUAAUACCGCAUACGAUCUAAGGAUGAAAGCGGGGGACUCGCAAGAGCCUCGCGCGAUUGGAGCGGCCGAUAUCAGAUCAGGUAGUUGGUGGGGUAAAGGCUCACCAAGCCAACGAUCUGUAGCUGGUCUGAGAGGACGACCAGCCACACUGGAACUGAGACACGGUCCAGACUCCUACGGGAGGCAGCAGUGGGGAAUUU